UCGAGAAUUUUUCUCAAUGGGGGCAACCCUGAAGGAGCGACGCCGCGUGGAGGAUGAAGGUCUUCGGAUUGUAAACUCCUGUCAUUGGUGAACAAAAUCCCCGGUUAACUGCCGGCGGAAUUGAUAGUAGCCGAAGAGGAAGGGACGGCUAACUCUGUGCCAGCAGCCGCGGUAAUACAGAGGUCCCGAGCGUUGUUCGGAUUCAUUGGGCGUAAAGGGUGCGUAGGCGGCGGGGUAAGUCUGAUGUGAAAUCCUGGGGCUCAACCCCGGAACUGCAUUGGAUACUGCCUUGCUUGAGAACUGGAGAGGAGACUGGAAUUUACGGUGUAGCAGUGAAAUGCGUAGAGAUCGUAAGGAAGACCAGUGGCGAAGGCGAGUCUCUGGACAGAUUCUGACGCUGAGGCACGAAGGCCAGGGGAGCAAACGG
rnacentral:rRNA from 1 species